rnacentral:rRNA from 1 species
GACGAACGCUGGCGGCGGGCUUAACACAUGCAAGUCGAACGGUUGAGCGCCUUCCUUUUUGGGGUGUGUGGAUGGAUGGCGAACGGGUGAGUAACACGUGGGUAACCUGCCCCCUUCUUCGGGAUAACCGCGUGACUGUUUGGCCAUACCUGGAUAGUCUGGGUCUGUCGCAUGUUGGGUCUGGGAGCGAUCAUGUUACGGUGGGGGGGGGGCGGGCGGCCUAUCGGUUUGGUGGUGGGGAGGUGGCCUACCGAGGCGGUUCGGGGUCGCUGGGCUGUGAGGGUGGACGGUCACACUGGGACUGAGACGCGGCCCAGACUCCUACGGGAGGCAGCAGGGGGGAAUAUUGCACAGUGGGAGCAAGGCUGAUGCCGCGACGCCGCGUGAGAGAUGGAGGUCGGCGUGUUGUGAACCUCUUUCGCCAGUGAAGCACGGUAGGCUAGUUUGUGGCUGGGUUGACGGUAGCUGGAGAAGAAGCGCCGGCUAACUACGUG